CCCCUCUCAGGGUCACACCUGGAGAGUUUCCAAUCCUCUACCAGUUUCGACUACAGGAGGGAGAGUCAACAGAGGCAUAUCCAUUCCUCUCCUAGCCUGAGCAGUGGCUAGCGAGUGGAAGGCAAUCUGCUACAAGU